CGCGACUUAAAAAGUAAUGCGUCCAAAAAGCUUCAAAAUUAAGAAUUGAGAGGAAUUGAACAGGAAAUUUUCCAGUCACUGCAGAAGGGCUCGACGAAUUGCAGAAACGCAUUAUUGGCUGCAUAGGACUAAAGUACGUCGAGGGUAGCCAAGAAUGCGCAGAUAGCAUGCCAGAGGAAGAGGAAUAUCAAAUGCAACUAGAAAGUGGAAAUAAUAGGGUCCUGCAAAUUUUUCCAACAACAACAUCACUAGCAGAGAUAAUAAACUCGGAUACAAAUAAUAACUCACAUGUGAUUGAAGUGGAAUAGAACGAAGACUUGUUAUUUAUUGAUGUAUUACAAUGUUUUCCGGACGAUGAGCAAAGUAUGAUGAGACCAGAAGAAACAUCUACAGAGAGACCGACGGAAGCAAGACCCUGAGAAGAAAGAGUAGAGGAUAGACCAAUUACAAGAAAAAGAAAAGCAACUAAUACACCGAAAAAAACAAAUAAUAAAAAAAGGAAUGAACGAAUCAGCGUGCAAUUGAAUAAAGUACGAGACAAAUUUGCACAUAUUGCUGAAGGUCACGUUGCAGCUUUACAGAUGUUUGCGGAGGCUUCGAUGAAACAGAGGCUGCAUUAUUGCAAGCGGAAAACGAACGAGAACGCAAACACCUGGAACAACAACGACUAAUAUUGGAAGAAAAAAGAUUAAAAAAUGAGGAAAAUUUAAUAAAAACGUU
rnacentral:lncRNA from 13 species